UAUAAUAAAUUAAAACGAACUAUAAGAUUGUUAUUUGUAAAUCAAAAAGCAUUUUAACAAAAAAAAUCAAGUUGUUAAUGUUUUUAUUUGACCUUGAUCCCACCUAUAACUUUCGAUCUAAUCGGGUUUGCCAGAUUUACUUAUCCGAGGAAAAUAUUUAUUUUCAAAAUAUACAAUCUGAUAUACACCAUCUCAGAAAAUGUUUUAUUAUAUAAAAUACAAACAAAUUUUAAUUAAAAUAUUCUUUAUAUUUAGCUAGACAAGCAUAAAUUAUAAUAAAAAACAUUUUUAAUAAAACGAAUAUACUGAUAGUAAGACUUUUUUAUAAAUCCGGCAACGUUGGUCCAAACGUCCGACGUGAAUUGACAGAUGUAUGAUAAAUAAUUCUAUAAAAUCUAAUUGAAACUAAUUUUCAUCAAUCUACGUCCUAUAAUAAAAUAAAUUAAAACGAACUAUAAGAUUGUUAUUUGUAAAUCAAAAAGCAUUUUAACAAAAAAAAUCAAGUUGUUAAUGUUUUUAUUUGACCUUGAUCCCACCUAUAACUUUCGAUCUAAUCGGGUUUGCCAGAUUUACUUAUCCGAGGAAAAUAUUUAUUUUCAAAAUAUACAAUCUGAUAUACACCAUCUCAGAAAAUGUUUUAUUAUAUAAAUUACAAACAAAUUUUAAUCAAAAUAUUCUUUAUAUUUAGCUAGACAAGCAUAAAUUAUAAUAAAAAACAUUUUUAAUAAAACGAAUAUACUGAUAGUAAGACUUUUUUAUAAAUCCGGCAACGUUGGUCCAAACGUCCGACGUGAAUUGACAGAUGUAUGAUAAAUAAUUCUAUAAAAUCUAAUUGAAACUAAUUUUCAUCAAUCUACGUCCUAUAAUAAAAUAAAUUAAAACGAACUAUAAGAUUGUUAUUUGUAAAUCAAAAAGCAUUUUAACAAAAAAAAUCAAGUUGUUAAUGUUUUUAUUUGACCUUGAUCCCACCUAUAACUUUCGAUCUAAUCGGGUUUGCCAGAUUUACUUAUCCGAGGAAAAUAUUUAUUUUCAAAAUAUACAAUCUGAUAUACACCAUCUCAGAAAAUGUUUUAUUAUAUAAAAUACAAACAAAUUUUAAUUAAAAUAUUCUUUAUAUUUAGCUAGACAAGCAUAAAUUAUAAUAAAAAACAUUUUUAAUAAAACGAAUAUACUGAUAGUAAGACUUUUUUAUAAAUCCGGCAACGUUGGUCCAAACGUCCGACGUGAAUUGACAGAUGUAUGAUAAAUAAUUCUAUAAAAUCUAAUUGAAACUAAUUUUCAUCAAUCUACGUCCUAUAAUAAAAUAAAUUAAAACGAACUAUAAGAUUGUUAUUUGUAAAUCAAAAAGCAUUUUAACAAAAAAAAUCAAGUUGUUAAUGUUUUUAUUUGACCUUGAUCCCACCUAUAACUUUCGAUCUAAUCGGGUUUGCCAGAUUUACUUAUCCGAGGAAAAUAUUUAUUUUCAAAAUAUACAAUCUGAUAUACACCAUCUCAGAAAAUGUUUUAUUAUAUAAAUUACAAACAAAUUUUAAUUAAAAUAUUCUUUAUAUUUAGCUAGACAAGCAUAAAUUAUAAUAAAAAACAUUUUUAAUAAAAUGAAUAUACUGACAUUAAGACUUUUUUAUAAAUGCGGCAACACCGUACGACAUAAAUUGACAAGAUAUAGUAUGCAACACUCAUAACACGUCUGUAAGUAGUGUUGCAAUAUUGAUCUUUUGUUUUAUAUUAUUAAAUUAACUGGGUUUUUUCGAGAUACUAUCCACCGAAACGUAAUUAUAAACGAAGAUAAUAGUUGGUUAAAUAAUCACGAAUGAUGGUAUUUAAUCGUUUAUAAAAAAACAAUUUUAUUAAAACAAAAAAAUUCCAGGUCUAAAUAACGAUUGUAUCGGCGACGUAAGUAAACGUCGUCUAUAAUGAAUCGAGGUUUAUUGUAUCUGCGGUUCUAACCAAAAACAAACAUUCAAAUUAUAUCAGCGGCUGAAAAUGAUAAUUGUAUUUAUUAAUGCGAUGAUAUGAGUACGGGGUAUCGAAUGUGGAUUUUGCGGGCGUUUAUUCUCGAACAAUGGAAGGAUUAUUAACAGUGUUUUGUUAGGUGAAAACCCUCUUCAGAAUACAACUACGUAUCGGGGAAGCCUUUCCCUUCACUUGCUGCAUUAGAGAACAACUUGUUUAUUUAUUUUCGUGUGGUUUAAGAACCGUCGCGCAAAAUGGCGGAAACAAAAACGCGAAGAACAGGAAAGAUUAAGAAAAGUGCAAGAAGAAGACGUCGUGUGUA